UUUUUCUUUCCUUUUUUUCCCAUUUCUCUUUUCUCGCCCAGUCCGUCGGCGACUUCGGCCCGCUGGAGCGCCUCUGUCCCCGCUGCCCGCUCCCCUGCCGCGGCCGCGGCCCCGCUCACACAUAGCACAGGUAGAGGUCACAUCCCCGGCAGGGGGCUAAGGAAGCCCCAGGGCUCUGGGAAAUGCUCGAAGUGACUCUAGCAGUCAGCACCAAGCACCCGAGGCUCUCCUUGUGACCCAAGCGGAGGCGAGAAAGCAGGGCUAUGACAGCACAGCAUCCUCUCCUUAUGGCGCCCUCGGUUCUCCCCCGCCCCCGCCCUGCGCAUGGAAGCAUUCUCUCCCCUCGGCCAGCAGGACCCGCCUGAGGUCACUUCUCCCCCGUCCUCUGGCCAGGACAGCUGUUCCCCCUGAUCGGAGGAGGCUUCCUAGUUUGCUAGAUUCCACUACCUUCCACUGCCUCUUAUCCUCAUGGGAAGUCCUUCCGAAUGUCUACCUCCCCCCACCCCCAUCGCCCAGCGUGCUGCUGCUGAAUCUGUUUAACAACUGGCUCUCCGAAAAGGUGGGAUUUUGUAGCAUUUGCCCCGGCAGCAUUGCACCGCCCCCAGGUCGGGCAGUGCUGGACCCUGGGGCCACUUCACUUGUUCUGUCCCCAGAGCCCACACUGGGUCACAUUCCUGUUACAUAAAAAGCAACGUGGAGUCCCUCUGAAAUGGUAAGCACCCUACACGUAACCCGGCUCCUCCUCUCUCUGAAAGGAGCUCAGUCUGACCCCCAGCGUCCCAGCCCUCAUCCUCACCGAGCUCAGUGCCCCCUAACCCCCAGUAACAGGAAACCAUACCAGUCUUUGCUUUCAGCCAUCAGGCCAACUUGACCC